CUACUACUUCCUCUGUUCCGAAUUACUUGUCGUGGGAAUAAAUGUAUCUAGAUGUAUUUUAAUGCUAGAUACAUUCAUUUCUGCGACGAGUAAUUUGAAACGGAGGGAGUAUUUG
rnacentral:pre_miRNA from 1 species